rnacentral:rRNA from 1 species
UACGUAGGGGGCGAGCGUUGUCCGGAUUUAUUGGGCGUAAAAGGCUUGUAGGUGGCCACGUCAAGUCGGAUGUGAAAUCUCCCGGCUCAACUGGGAGGGGUCAUUCGAUACUGGCGGGCUCGAGGCCGGUAGGGGGAAGCGGAAUUCCCGGUGUAGUGGUGGAAUGCGUAGAUAUUGGGAGGAACACCAGUGGCGAAGGCGGCACUCUGGGCCAGUACUGACACUGAGGAGCGAAAGCGUGGGUAGCGAACAGG